rnacentral:lncRNA from 1 species
CCCAACAAAACAUUUAAGUCUAUUGUACUUUGUAACAAAUGUCCCAAAAGGUUCUCUAAAUAUUCCAAUUUAAAAAGGCAUGUCACUAAGUUUCAUCCAGAAAAUAUCAACGAGCUGACUUCAUCUAAGAUUUGCCCAUAUCAAUGCAGUGAAUGCCAGAAAAAGUUUUCACAUUUACAAAAUCUUAGAAAACAUAAAAAAAUUCAUGCAAAAGACAGUGAUAUUGGAAAAAAGCAACAAAACUUCAAGUGCAGUUUGUGUAACUACGAAAAUUCUAUAAAAUCCAAUUUAAUUCUUCAUUUCGAAGAAUAUCAUGCCA